rnacentral:rRNA from 1 species
CCCGUUACAGCACACACACGCACUCCCUAUUUGUGUACCGACGUUAGGUCAACACACGCAAGUGUGUGGCCUACUAACCUACACACCAUUGACCAACCAAUAAUCAAACCAAACUCUGAAGCUUUGGCUGCUGUUAAUCGGCAGUUUUAACAAAGAACAACUCUCAACAACGGAUAUCUUGGCUCUCGCAACGAUGAAGAACGCAGCGAAAUGCGAUACGUAGUGUGAAUUGCAGAAUUCCGUGAACCAUCGAAUCUUUGAACGCAUAUUGCGCUCGACCCCCCGGGGAAGAGCAUGUCUGCCUCAGCGUCGGUUUACACCCUCACCCCACUUACUUCACAGUAAGCGCUUGCUGCGUUGUAUGACCAGCAACUGGGAUGGAUCUGGCCCUCCCAAUUGAAGCAAUUCGAUUGGGUUGGCUGAAGCACAGAGGCUUAAACUGGGACCCGUACCGGGCUCAACUGGAUAGGUAGCAACACCUUCGGGUGCCUACACGAAGUUGUGUCUGAGGACCUGGUUAGGAGCCAAGCAGGAAACAUGGAAACAUGUACUCUGUAUUCGACCUGAGCUCAGGCAAGGCUACCCGCUGACUUAAGCCAUAUAA